GCGCAACCCUUGUCAUUAGUUGCUACAUUCAGUUGGGCACUCUAAUGAGACUGCCGGUGACAAGCCGGAGGAAGGUGGGGAUGACGUCAAGUCCUCAUGGCCCUUAUAGGUGGGGCUACACACGUCAUACAAUGGCUGGUACAAAGGGUUGGCCAACCCGCGAGGGGGAAGCCAAUCCCAUAAAGCCAGUCGUAGUCCGGAUCGUAGUCUGCAACUCGACUACGUGAAGUCGGAAUCGCUAGUAAUCGUGGAUCAGAAUGUCACGGUGAAUACGUUCCCGGGUCUU
rnacentral:rRNA from 1 species